rnacentral:lncRNA from 1 species
AGCAAAUCUCUCUACCUAUGACAAAAAAAAUCAGUUACCUGAUAAUCAUUUUAUUUCAGGAAAACAAUAGGUGCUGUUGCUAACAGAGUAGGUGAGUAGUUAAAGGAAGAUUCCUGGGAAAAGCCUCUCCCACUGGAGCAUCCAGUGAAGGUAUGCAAAGCGGAAUAAAAUCAAAGCCAGUGAGUUUUCCACUCUGCAGAACAGAAUCCUAUCUGAAGGGUGAAUGCUAAGAUUACCCAGAAGCAUCGGACUCCAUGGGGGCAGGACAACUCACCCGUGUUCCUCAAAGCCUGCCCUGUUUCUGAUUCAUGUCUUUGUGAACAGCACUAUCACUCACCCAGGCCAGAAACCUGAAUACAUCUUCCAAAUCUGUCUCUUGCUCUCCAUUCCCAUCACCAAGACCUCAGCUCAGAUGCCCUGUCUUCCUCACCUGGCUGCUAUCUGGAAUCCCUCUCUCCAGUCUCAUCUUCCAGUCAGCUCCUCACAGUGUUAUCAUGUUAGUGUUUCCACAAGAUGGAACAUUCUCUGUCAUGGGAAGUUUGUACUUGUCUUACACCUUUGCCCAGAGUCCCAUUGCUGAGAACCAUAAGGCACUCUGAAGAGCCAUAGAGAGAGCUACCAGUCACCUCCUUCCAGGGCUGGCUGAGAAGAGGCCGAAUGGGUGCUUCAUCUCUCAUUCCCACCACUGCAUCCAGCAAGUACAUACAGAAGCCUGGAGCUCAUUAGGUCUGAGCAGUAAGGAAGAGGAGGCAUUGAGCCCUUCAGUGGAGGGGAGGAGUGCUGUGGCUUUACCCCUCCAUGUACCCCAGGGAGGUGCGAUAUAAGAGAAUUCUUCCAGAAGAGUGGAGUUGCCAGCACAGAAGGACCCUGAGCCUUCACUCCCAGCUUGAUGUUUACUGAAUGACAGUAACUAGGAGGCCCAUCCCAGUCACCCAAAACAAAGCAUGACAGACAGCCCCUGGGAGAAUUUGACUUCUAUCUUCUGGAGUUUGUCAACAUAUGUGAAGACAGAGGCAGAUAGGAGACUGCUUCUCACCUGCCAUAGUCUGAACACUGCUCAGAUAGGGGAAGAGAAGAAACAGUGGACCCACCUGAGUUCCCAGCAAGGAUACACACAUUUCCAUGGGAAAAUACAUGCCACAGAAGGAAGUGGGACUCCUGCCAUCCAAGGGACUCAGGGGUCUAUUUUCGGAGGCAAGAGCUAGGAAGCUGUCACAAGAAACAAUCUCUAGAAUACAUCACCUAUGUCAAAGAAGUGCACAGUAUCAAGGUCUUGCAGAACCUUCCAAAAAAUAUCUGAAAAUAAACACACACAAGAAUAUUUCCGCCUUUUCCUUCAGCUUUUACCUCUUUCAAAUCUUA